rnacentral:rRNA from 1 species
UACGAAGGGGGCUAGCGUUGCUCGGAAUUACUGGGCGUAAAGCGCACGUAGGCGGUCUUUUAAGUCGGGGGUGAAAUCCUGGAGCUCAACUCCAGAACUGCCUUCGAUACUGGAAGACUCGAGUCCGGGAGAGGUGAGAGGAACUGCGAGUGUAGAGGUGAAAUUCGUAGAUAUUCGCAAGAACACCAGUGGCGAAGGCGGCUCACUGGCCCGGUACUGACGCUGAGGUGCGAAAGCGUGGGGAGCAAACAGG